rnacentral:rRNA from 1 species
GAUGAACGCUCGCGAUAGGCUUAACACAUGCAAGUCGAGGGGCAGCAUGGUCUUAGCUUGCUAAGACUGAUGGCGACCGGCGCACGGGUGCGUAACGCGUAUGCAACUUGCCUCACAGAGGGGGAUAACCCGUCGAAAGACGGACUAAUACCGCGUACACUCUAUUUUGGGCAUCCAAGGUAGAGGAAAUGAAAUUCGCUGUGAGAUAGGCAUGCGUCCCAUUAGCUAGUUGGUGAGGUAACGGCUCACCAAGGCGACGAUGGGUAGGGGAACUGAGAGGUUGAACCCACACACUGGUACUGAGACACGGACCAGACUCCUACGGGAGGCAGCAGUGAGGAAUAUUGGUCAAUGGGCGAGAGCCUGAACCAGCCAAGUCGCGUGAAGGAUGACUGUCUUAUGGAUUGUAAACUUCUUUUGUAGGGGAAUAAAGAGGGGCACGGGUGCCCCAGUGAAUGUACCCUACGAAUAAGCAUCGGCUAACUCCGUG